rnacentral:rRNA from 1 species
UACGUAGGGUGCAAGCGUUAAUCGGAAUUACUGGGCGUAAAGCGUGCGCAGGCGGUGAUGUAAGACAGUUGUGAAAUCCCCGGGCUCAACCUGGGAACUGCAUCUGUGACUGCAUCACUGGAGUACGGUAGAGGGGAUGGAAUUCCGCGUGUAGCAGUGAAAUGCGUAGAUAUGCGGAGGAACACCGAUGGCGAAGGCAAUCCCCUGGACCUGUACUGACGCUCAUGCACGAAAGCGUGGGGAGCAACAGG